AUCCCAAGAUGAGAUCUGAACCCACAGCCUCUCACUGCAGUGGUGACAAGUGAGUGUUUAACCCCUACACUACCAGGAA
rnacentral:tRNA from 1 species